CUUUUUUUUUUUUUUUUGCUUUAUAAGGAUUGAUGAGGCGUUGGGCUCAGGAAUAAACAUCAGAAUGUCUCGCCUUGAUCGUGUUCAGCAUCGCCAACAAGAAAGCCCCACUUUCCUCUCUUGUCCUUCAUUUUGUGAUUCGGCCUGAUCGACAACAACAAAAUGAACCUUCCUUUCUUCCAAAGCUUCUUUAGCUUUUUGGUUCUUUUUUUCUCCAAUUAUUUAUGAGUUUUGUCGUCUAAUUUUUUUUUCCUUUUAUGAUGUUGUAAUGUUACAGGUGCAGAUUUUGAAAAUUUCCUCCACCAUCCUCAUGGGGUUUUGUAAUUUUUGCUUUCCCCUUUGAAGCUGGGUUCUAAAUGGUUAGUUUCUAGAAAAAGGGUUAUUUCUGCUGUUUUUUUUCUCAUAGUUGCUCUGUUUCUUUACUUUGUUUUUUUUGGGAUUUUUUUCUUGAAUUGCUUGACUUGAAUGUUGAUCAAUCAAACAAGGAAAAAAGAAAGGGAUUUAGAGAAGAUUACAGCAUAGGAACAAAAGAAAUUCCAGUUUCCAAUUCCUGUUGCUGCUAUCGAGAAUUUCCAUCAAAUAAUAAGCUUGGUGAAGUUGGCUACGGCUCUGUUUCAAAUCAAACCAUUUUGCAUGAUGGACCUCCGGAUUCUUGGUUGAGAUGGUGGUGUCGUUUGAAGGUCAAUAACCAAUACCAUGAAUAAGGUAUAAUUUACAGUAAAGGUCUGUGACUUUUGCUGCCUUAUAAAAAAAGGCUGCUUUCUUUAUUCUAAAAUUACUUGGACGAAACUUUGUAUGAAAAAUUAAGCUACUAUAUAUAUAGACCAAACUAUCAAAUUGUCUAUCAAAGUGCAUUCAUCUUAUUUUCUACUCUCGAAGUUGUAGACAUAGAAGUUUUAUGAUAAACUGGUUCGUUAAUUUGCAUGCUACUUGUCUUAUUUAAAAGAUCCUCCUAUAAAGAAAUUUUGAAAGUCAGUAUCUACCAAACCUUUUUCAUAUGCCUAUGAACUAAAUCUUGGAGUGGAGAACUGUAAAUCUCUCUCCAAGCAUUUUGUUUUUUUAUCAAGAAAAGUUUUUUCUUUUGGUUGAGUUAAUGUAUGUACUUUAUAGAAAUCAUAGAAGUUCAAGUUAAAAUAUGUACUUAAAAUUUUGUCAUUUCACCUAUUUAUUUUGAAUUCCUUGACUAUGGUGACUUUUGAUUGAUUUUCUGAAUUUUAUUUUUUCAAUUCUUGGUUGAUAGCAGUCGGAAUUUUGAAGUCAAAUUUAUCCUUCACCAUGAUUUUUACUUAUUCAGGUAUGUUGCUUUGUUUCUCAGAGAUCUGGUAUUUAUUUGAACUGUAAAAUUGUUUUACUUUUGAUUGAUUUUGGUAGAUAUGGGCCACUGCUCAUGAAUAACAGAUUGUACCAAUUAUUCAUGUGUAUGCAGGUUGCUGAAAUCUUAAAAGAUUGGCCCUAAUGAUUUCGUGCUUGCCAAGCUGUGGAUGUCCUUAAUAUGAUAUCUACUGGAAACAGUGGAACCAUUGAACUUCUUUAUAUGCAGGUCAAAGUUUUACGUAUGUUGAAUUCUGUGGUUGUCAUCCACUGUUAAGUAAAGUUGUUUGACAAAUGUAGUUCUGAUUUCCUUGUUCAGCUCUAUGCCCCUACUACUCUGGCACCAGCUCGUGACUUUUGGUUAUUACACUAUAUGCCUGUGAUGGAAGAUGGUAGUCUCGUUGUAUAUACCUCAUAGUAAACUAGUGGAAUGCAAAAUGAUCUCAUCUUAGCUACUUUAGGUUGAUUUAUUAAAAUCUUGAAAAACAUUAGGUCUGUGAAAGAUUGCUGCACAACACUCGGAAUGGUCCCAGUAUGCCACCUGUUUAGCAUUUUGUAAGAGCUGAAAUACUGCCAAGCGGAUACUUGAUCAGACCUUGUGAAGGAGGUGUGAGGACUCGAAAAUUUGUCUUAUUUUUAAUCGUUUAAUUUUAUUUUCUUUCAUAUAUUUUCGUACUAUACUUUAUUAUAUUGAACUUCCAUAGAUUUUUAUAAGCAAGUCUAUAUUUUAAAUUAUUUUUCCAAUAUAAGAUAGUUCAUGAUACGUUUGGUGUGUAGUAAGGACGUGGGACCUGCUAGUGCGGUAAGUGCGAUAAAUUUUCGAUAAAUAAGUGAAACGUACACAAGGGGAUAUUACUGUACAAGGUGCUAGGAGAUAAUUGUAGGUUAGUUAGAUAGAUUACCAUUGAGAGACAAGAGGAUAAGUUUGAAAACAAAAGGUGCCAAGUGUCGCGAUUUGGUUGGUGUUGGACUUUGACUAUUUUUCCUCCACCUUUACUAAACCCAAAAUUUGACCAAGAUCAUCUUCAUUUCCUCCUAGAGCUGGCCGAAAUUUGGAGAGCAAGAGAGAGAGAAAAUCUUCAUCUUUCACUUCAAUUUCUUGCCCAAAUCUUGAGUUUCAACCGAUUAAUUUGCAAACUACUCCAUAAAACUUACUUCCCAAGUAGUUUCCAAGGUGUUUGUGAAGUUAUUUUUGGAGGACAAAGCCUAAGCUACCAUCUUUCUUAGGGAGAUAAGGUAAAUUGUCAAGAAACUCCUUCUUUACUUCAAUAAAUGGGCAAUUUGUGGUUAUAGUUGUUGAAUUAGUAAUUUUGUGAGAGAAUUAUAUGGGUUGAAGUAGGUUUAUGAAAAUUUCAGUUUCUUGGUGAAUUUUCUGCCCUAAUAUGAAGAUUAAUGAUUAGUUAUGGUUUGAUAGCUUUGAUAUGUGAAAUAGCUAGUGUUUAGAUGUUAGUUUACUUGGCCUAAAGAAAUUUCUGGUUUGUAAGCAUAAAUUCCAGCUUGGAUGAUAACCUGCCCUGCUUCUGCCUGGUUCUAUUUCACCAUGUUAGAGGCCGAACUAACCUUAGUACAAAACAUGAAAGUUGUAUAAAAUGAUGUUUUAUAGUUUUCUACAAAAUUUCAACUCAAUCGGAGCAAUAUAGCCUGUGAAAUGACCGAAAUACCCUUGACUGCCCAUAACCCCUAUUUUCGCGGACAGUUUUCUAUCUUCGUGGGAAUUUCAAUUUUUGACUCUGAAAAUGCAUGAUUUAGCUUUGUAUGUCUUCAUAAGAAAUGUAGGUAUAUGUCUAGGCUUCGAAACGCCAUAAGAUACACCUCAAUUGGACUUCGGCAGCCUGAGUUAUUGUCGUUGAAUCAUAGUGCAAUUAACAAGCCCGAAUGUGAGAUGCUGGUUCUGUAAUUUGGAAUUUUGACUUAGAUACACUACAAACUGGACUGAGUUGUCUUCAUAAAAGUUGUAACCCUCUGUCUUAGCUUCGAAACGGUAUAAAUUAGACCCCAAUCCUAUAAGCGUAGUUUCGGUUGUGUCCGUUACGCAAAACAACGUCAAAUCUAUCUUUUGCUUUCCAACUCAACCUUCAUUUCCGCACAUGCUCCUAGCUUGAUUUUGUACUUGUAUGACUUGGAGCCUAUGGAAUGGCUAUUGAAAUGAGAUGAUUUUGUGUGUGACUUUGGGAUUGAUUGAGGAAAAUAAUGAAGCCAUAAAUGGCUGGAAAAUAGGUAAAUACAAAGGGCGUGCUGCCCAAAUUUACGCUCGAGAGUUAGGUCGAUAUACUUGCGACUUGAGUAAGGCUUGAGAGCGAAUACCACGCAAACCAUCUCGGGUAUUUACGUUUUCUUUGCCACUUCGACUCAAACAGUGAUUUUAAAGUUUUACAAGUGAGUCUAAGUUUCCAAAUAUUUUACUUAUGUCCUUUGGUUUCAAUGUACUCUUUUCACUACCAAAACCAUAUUUAUACUUUGUACUAGUACGUAUGCGACUUUUCUUUGACUCACUUAUAUCUUUGAUGGUUGAAGCAUAAUGUGUUCGUUUGAUUAUAUUAGGAUACCUUGAUGAUUGAGGGUGUAUCCGGAAGGAAACUUUGGACGUUAUUUUGCUUAAAUAGGUGAGUGUUCCUUGUUGCUAUAUUUUCCUUGACUUCAUGGCUUAUUGUUAUUAUUUGGUAAUGCGUUAAUUGCUCUUAAUGAUUGCCAAAACAAGUUUUCUAGGCGAGUGUGUACUUUAUCGCACUCGACCUAAAUGAUUGUGAAAUUUUCAAUGAUUGAACGAUUAUAUACGCAUGUAUGUAAGUCUUUUGGCUGAACUGGGCCCUGCCCUUCGUUACCGAUCGACUCGAGCCAGAAGCGGACUCGGUCGGAUGAUAUGGCGACCCUGGGUGAAUUUGGUAUACUCGAAUAUUACCUUGAAUUCUGGUGGAGCCUGGCCAACGUCCAGGAAGGGGGUGAACGAAAUGAAUGAACGAACGAGGGUUUUACUUACAAAAAUACAUUUUCAAAUGAUUGGAGGAAUAAGGGGAAAUGACAGGAGAACGAAUGAAUGAACGAAUGAAUGGCUCCCUGUGAGCCCGUAUCCUUUUAAUGAAUGUGUUUAUCGCUUUAUAUUGUACAUGUAUCUUGAAUUAUUGGUGAAAUGUAGUGAAUGCAUUGGAUUUAUUGUUUGCCUAUGUGUUCGGAACCUCACUGAGCUUUUAGCUCACCCCUUUAGUUUUGUUUUCCUUAACAGGGAGAUGCGAGCAAGGACGAGAGCCCAGUGUAGGUUAGCCUAGUCUAGUUUUUUGGUUUGUAAUGGUUCUCGCCCUAGUGCUUAGCACGGGCUGGAUGUAUGACGAAUUGAGAACCUUUGUAUAUUCGAUAUUUGUACUCUCUUUUGAGAUAGAAAUGUAUAUAAGUUUCGCUUUAAGCUUUGGAUUGUUAUUCCGUUUGAGUUUGUGGUUUUAUUUCGGAUUUGAUUGAGGUUCGACUGAGUCCCGGCGAGAGGUGGACAGGUGGUCCGCCGAACCCUUUGGUUCGCCUUAGGGUGAGGUGGGGCUGUCACAGGAGGUGACUCCAUAAUCCAUAUAGUUGACCACAUAGACUUAGAGGUAAUCUACUUAACAUACUGGUUUCAUCAUAGAGUAGGCUACCCAUGCUAUAAUAAUCGUAUUGCUUGCCAGCAGCCAUGGAGUGUGCCUGAAGUGACCCGUCCACUAUAUGAGUUGUCAACAUUGCUUGCUCAGAAGACAACAAUGGCGAUAUGAUAUUUAGAUUCUAUGCAGUUCUCUCCUUUGUGCCAGUCAUGCCUAAAGUAUCCAAAAAAAGAUGAAUAUACCAUUUUGUUCGCUAAUUUGACACUGUAAUAUUUUCCAGGCUUUACACCAAUUAAGACAGAUCUCACAUGAAGUUUCUCAGCCUACUAUCACAAGAUGGCGAAGAAGACCUGCAGCAUUAUGAGCACUUAGCCAAUGAUUGAGCAAGUAGGUUUCUGAGUUGUUGACAUUAUGUUCUGAUGGCUUCUAAUUUUUUAUGUGAACCUAAAAUUUACUUUAUUUUUUCUCUAGGGAUUUCAAUGAGGCUAUAAAUGGUUUCACAGAUGAGGGAUGGUCUAUGCUUGACAGUGAUGGCAUUGAUGAUGUUACUGUUCGUGUGAACCCUUCUCCCAGCAAAUUGAUGGGACUAAAGUUUCAUCCGUCAGCAAUGUAGUGCCAUGUGCCAAGGCCUCCAUGCUUUUACAGGUUUGGAGAUUAAAUACACAGUAAAAAACAUUAUGAGGCUUCACUCGGAUCUUUAGAUUUUCUCUGAAAAGCAAAAGGAAUUGAUAAAUGGAUGAAAGUUAAGUUGUGGUACAUAUUGCCUCAAACUACAACUGUAUAUACCACAAUAAAUUUAAAAAAUAUUUUUUUUGUUUUGUAAAAUAAGAUAAUAAGAUCAAGAGUUGAAAUUUAAGAUAAUCCCAAGAUGUUUGAUGGCUAGACCAAGUAACCAUAACCUUUGUGUUUAAUAUUGUAGGUCACUAUCCUUGAAAACUUAAACGAAUGUUAAAACACAAUUUUCUUUCUCACUGAAUCUUCAGGUUCUGUACAUGCAUAGUAGUUCUAUGGGUAAUUACAACAAAUCUCUUAAGAAAAAAUCUCUUAGAGAGCAGUUUACAUGCAUAGUAGUUUGUCUUUCGUUCCGUUUGUGUUUUGAUACUGUAUUUAUCUAGAGGUGUUUGUCUUUAGUUCUUCUGUGUUUUUUAUUUUUUGAUCUGUAAAGUUGUUGAGUGCUUAUGCUUCUGGGCAUUGGUGUUUGCCCUUCCCAUUGGUUUUGCUUCCUGUAUCUUUGGCCCGUUUGUUUGCUGGUUUGGUGGUUUUUUUUUUGUGGUAGCAUGUUGCAUUUCCUACUCUUUUAGUAUGAUUUAUAAAUCAUGCUACUACUAAAGAUUCCAUGUUUUGGCCUUGCAAGCUUGUUGUGUUGAAUAGAUCAUUCUGAAGAGUGAUAACUUAUCAUCUCUGUUUCCUAAUGCACAUUUAAGCUUGGGAGGACUUGAAUUAAUUUCAAAACAUCCAUUUGCUUUGCUCACUACCCUCACUAUUCUUCCUACUGUUUGGAUGCAAGAUCUCACCCUACUUAGUUACAUCUCAGGUGAGUGAUUUAUUAAUUAAGGAACUUUUUAAAGGAAAGAAGUACAGAUUUAGGGGACUGAGAAAACCUUCUGUCCAAAAUCUCAGGUGUCUUUCAACUUUUCUCUGCUCUUUUUUGGUCGAUCUUUUUUCUUUUUGAGGUUGUUUUUCAGUACUAUCCAUGUUGAUGGUUUGUUUGUAGCCCUUUUUAAACAUUUUUUCCAAAGGGCUUUUGGUGAUUGACUGCAGUAAUUUUAUUACUUCUGUAGUUGUCUGGUGUUGAAUUUGUUUGGUUGAGCACCAAGUAAUUGCCUGUGAGUGCACUGGUUUUAGCUAGGUAUUUACUUGUGAAUGCAUUGAUUUGAUGGGAAAAUAGUUACUUUUAGUGUGUCAUGGGGUUAGCUUUGUUUUUUUCCUUUUGUUUUUUCUUUGUGCAUAUAAUUGGUGAAUUACUGAAGCUUCUCACUAUCUAUCUUUUCUUUCUUUUCAUUAUUUUUUCUUUUUGUGGUGCCUUCUGUGGAUUUUGUUCCUUAUGUACAAUUUUGUGUGCUUCAGAUAGCAUCAUGUUUACUAAGAACUUUUUUCCUUUAAUUCUUAUAUUGAAUAGGUGAAAGCAAUGAUCCUGGAGGUAGAAGUAGAUGAUGAAGAUGGAAGAUUAUGUGAUGGUGAUUUGAAUGGAGGCUUCAAUAUUAUUUUUACUAAAACCCUUAAGCAUCAAAUGGUACCAAUGCUUAAAUUAGGACUGAUUAACAUAUACUAUUACCAUAUACUAAUCAAUGGUAAACUUUAAUAUGCACAUUUAUGAUACACAAAGAUGACUAAAAGUUUUCAUUUACUAUGGUUAUACGAGUUUACUAUUGCUAUCCACAGAUUUCUAAUACAACUCAAGAUUAUUUCCAUAUUUUCUUCCUCUAAAAUCCUUGGAAAAUUCUCUGGCAAUAUCUUGUUUCCAUGUCUUUUACACAUAGCAGUCAAGCCCCAAAGAUAACAUGCAGUGAUACAAGUUUACUAUAGUUCUGUACAACUCCCUCCCUGGUUCCAAAAAAUCUGGUUUUCUUGCACUCUAUUACCUCAAAACCUUUUACUCACAAAUCUGGUCUUAUUGGUUGCUGUAGUUUAAUGUUGGUUUUUGAAUUUUUUUUUUCCAUUGGCCUAAAUCUUUUCCUUUUGUUUGAUGCAGGAAUUGUGCCCAACCAUUGAAUGUUAUUUUUCUAUUGGAAGCUUUGUGUUUCUUUUUUAAAGUUAUUAGUGAGGACAUGGAAAACUUGAAAUAUUAGUGCUUCUAUUGUAAUUGUUACAGAAUCUUUGCUAUGUUGCAAUGCAUGUGUGACCUUUUCAUCCUUUGUACACUUCCCUGCAAAUUGGAAAAUAGGCCAGCAGUGGAGAAAGAGUCCAUAUCUCAGUUCAUUUUUGGUCAUAUUGCCAUUUUGAGAAAAUUGUGUCUGUGGGAAUAAUUUUGUUUUCAGAUACAUGUAUUGCAAGAUUCUUUCCUUUUCCUCAUUUUCCUUUUCCUCAAAUUGAAAAAUAGGCCAGCAGUGGAGAAAGAGUCCAUAUGUCAGUUCAUUUUUGGUCAUAUUGCCAUUUUGAGAAAUUGUGUCUGUGGGAAUAAUUUUGUUUUCAGAUACAUGUAUUGCAAGAUUCUUUCCUUUUCCUCAUUUUUUGUCUGGAUUUUGAUUAAUUUGGAGUCUUUUGGACAGGUGAACGAUUCUAUGUUUAAUGAUGAUGGAGAAGCUAUUUAUCUGCCUGAUGGCCUUGGUCAAUUUCGGAUGAAUUUGGUGGAACUUUUCGUUGAUAUCUGUCAGAUUCUAGGCUCUACUGCAUUCAGGCUAUCUCGAGCUACUGUGUUCAGCAUUAUAACUUCAUACUUUUUGGAUGAUCUUCUAGGCGUUGAUCAGCUUAGCUUCAACAACCUAAACAUUCAAGACUAAAAUUGAACUUGUUUGAUUUUCAUAUUUAGAAUGCCUGUAGAACUAGAACCUCUUUCGGAUGACUAUUCAAUAUUUAUAACAAAACUGUAUUGCUCAAAUAAUUUUACUCUGUUUAGUAUCUCACUAAUUUUCAUUAUCACCAACAUUACUAACUAGACAUUAACUGGGCAUAUAUACCACAGCGCACAGCGCGGUGCCACCUGUGACAGCCCCACCUUCUCCUAAGGCGAACCAAAGGGGUUAGCGGACUGCCCGCCCAACUCUCGCCAGGACUAACGGGACAAUUCAAUACGGUUUCAAAUAUCCGGAACAUACAAGCGCCCUUAGACAAGUCAAAAUUACAAAAUAACAAAAAAAAAAUGUAAACGGAGUCGGCCAUGAAUAGUAACCGACACGUCAAAAUCCAACCAAGCAUCAAUCAAACAUAUAUAUAUUGAAAUUUAGCAUUUACAUACCCAAAAGGAAAUACCCAAGUUGUCCAACGAGUUUAUACAAGUACGGUUUGCAAAUUACAACUCAACAGUUUUGGUUGGAUCCAAAAAGCACUUAGAGUUUGCUCAAAAGGAGCUAUUCAAAAUUUCAUUUACAUAAGCUCAACUCGGCAACCAACAUGUACAACCUUUCCAAAACUAAUCAAUUUCCUGUAAGGAAAACAAACGGAAUAGAGUGAGCUUACGCCCAGUGAGAUACUAUCACUCAAGCAACCAAGUUCAUAUAAGCAUAAAGCUUUUCAUUUCAAAUCAUCAAAAGUAAACCAAGAGCACACAUUAAUAGAGUUGAUAAAAGGAUACGGACGGCUCUCAAGAGCCCCUUUCCUCGCUUACAUUCUUGAUUGGAUCUCAUUGACCCUCCGUCAAUGUUUAAGAGUAACCAACCGUAGGAUCCACUUUACUUCCAUUCCUUCCACCCAACAUACCCCUACCGGGCCCGAACUCCAAACAAUAGAAAUUUGGUAAUACUCGAGUAUACCGGAAUCAAGAGUCUCACUACUACAAGAUUCCAUAUAACAGUCCCCAUGGCUCGUCAAUUUUCACGACCAAGCCCUCGCCGGCUCGAUUCAAUCGACUACCAAUGGGGUUGAGCUCAGUAGUAACAGUAAUGGCCGUUGGAUACUCGUCCAAACGAUACCAAAUCCAGUAUAUCAGGUAUCAUUUAAAUACCAUAGUAAAACAGUAGACAGUCGUAUAUAGUACCAAGAGGGGUGAGGGCGAUCAAGUACACCCUCACUUUAAUCAGUUUCAAUGGCAUAUAGGCCCUCAAGGCAUCAAGUUCAAAUAUAGCAAAGCCACAUUGUAAACAAACAAGUGAGUAGUACACUCACCAGGCAAGCAAGUGAAAUUUCAUAAACUUUCGCCCAAAGAGCAUCUUUAAUCACCGUCACGCCCUAAAAUAUUCAAACAAGCACAAUAAGACUCGAUUACAAGUCAUAAACCAGUUCUGCAUACAACCAAAAUAGGGCUCCAUAAGAAUGUAUCAGCACUAGAGUAAACUAGGGAAAUCCGGAAAUGGAAUUAAACUCUAAAGUCUAAACCAUAAAAAUAGUUUUUGACAUCAUUUUGCGGUUUUGGCACCAUUGGCACUACAAUUAUCGGAUGAAGGUACAAUACACACUGUUUCGAAGCUAAGAGGUAGGGCUACAAUGUUGAAGAAGGCUACUCAGUCCAGUUCAUAGUGCAACUAGGUCAAAAAUGCAAUAUACCAAACCAGCACCGUCAAAACAGGUUUACAAACCGCAUUUUGGCUCAAACAUCAUAAGUCAGGCUACCUAAGUCCAAAUCAAGUGAUUCCAAAGUCAUCCGAAAGCUAAGAUACAAGGCUACAAUUCAUCAGAAGACAUCAACAACCAAAUCAGAAGCAUUCCCUAUCAAAUUAACCAAUUACCAGAACUGAUUACCAAGUUCGGGUAGAAACAGGGAAGCAGGGGUAUUUCAGUCUUUUCACAAGCUACGUUGCUCCGAUUGACCUGAAAUUUUGCAGACAUCUCUAAAAUAUCAUUCCCUACAACUUUCAUGUUUUAACACAAGGCUAAUUCGGCCUCUAACUAUGAUGAACAGUGCCAGGCAGAAUGAGGGAGUAUGAAACCCUAACUUUCACAAUUUCCUUCCAAAACAGAAAUUUCCUGCAAUUAACCACAAAUUACACCUUCUAGCUUCAUUCUAGAUCAAUUCCCAUCAUCAUACAAAGCCACACCAUAUUACACAUAUGAAACAGAAAAUUCAUGAUAUAAUCAAAAAAAUUCACCAAUCUCAACCCAAUUCAAGAUAUCUUUCACCCAAUCACACAUUUAAUCAACACAAAUCAUUACUUUGACAUUAUCAAGACCAAAGGAAGCAUUCCCUAGCUACUCACCUUGAAAUGCAAGAAAAGGAACAACUUGGCACCUUAAUCCUCCAAACAACUCCACUAAACACCUCACAAUCACUCACUUAAGGGUUUCUAUGGAACAAAAGCAAGAUUAAAUGGUUGAUUUAUUGGAUUUGAGAAAGAGUAGAGCUAGGAAUUUGGAGAGUUUUCCUUUCUUUCUUCCUUGGAGAGAGCCGGCUUCAAGAGCUUGGAAAUAAGGGUGAAUUUUGGAAAUUUUGUUUUUGUUGGUUUAUUUGGUCAAAUAGUAAAAGAAUGAAUAGUAGUCAUAACCUAAGACUUAAUCUUAUGGUGACACUUGUCACCCUAUUUAAUGCAUCUCUAUCUCUUUGUUCCUCUCACACCAAUCCGCUUGGUAACAUCUAAUUAUCUCUUAACACCUGGUAAAUUAAAUCCAGUAUCCAAAACUUAACCUAACUGGCCGAAUUUUUCCGCACUUUUCGCCCUAGUGGGUCCCACGUCCGGUAUACGCUCUUAAUUUCUUAAAAACUAACCAAUACUAGAAACUCACCUAAAAACUAUAUUUACUCAUAAAAAUUAUCUAGAAACUUUUUGAAUAAAGAAAAUGCAGAAAACAUGCCAGUAACCCUAAUAAAACCUAGAAAAUGGGAAAAAUUACGGGUUCUCACACUCUCUCCCCCUUAAAAGAAUUUCGCCCUCGAAAUUUCUCACUUUAACUCACGAAAAGUUCAGGGUAUUUCUUUCGCAUCUCUUCUUCCACCUCCCAGGUAGUCUCUACCCCAUGGUUUCUCCACUUUUCCCGAGCGAAAACAACUGCGACUAACUCCAGAUCGUGGGUUUGAUAGUUUUUGUUCGUGGGGUUUCAAUUUCUUAGAGGCAAAAGAUUUCACAUUCUGGUUUUGCGUCAACACACACCCCAAACCUUCUCUCCUACCCAAACGUGGCAAUCCUUACAAACCAUACCAGUGCUCAAACGAUGUUUCCCCAUAGGAAUACUACUUUCAGGUCAUAGGGUAGACGAGCAGGUUUUGUAUCUAUUCCGUCCAUCAAAAUUGGGGUUGACAAAUGAAUGAGUAACACCAGGAUCUACUAAGAUUUUCGCAAAUCGGUGAAAUACUGAAAUUGUACCUUCCUCAAUUUCAGAAAAAUCGGGGACCUGUUGUGGCUCCAGUGAAUACACUCGAGCCGCUAACUUAGGUUUGGUUCCCUCCACCUUGGCGGGUUCGGAAGUAGUCCUCGUUGAUUGCUGACUCCCCUUUUCCAUCUCGUGAUAGGACUGGACAAGUAGCGAAUUGAUGGUUUGCACUUCCACAGCGCAAACAUUUUCCCUCCUUCUUCCAGCAAUUGUCCUCUGAGUGGUUUGACUUUCCGCAAUACCCGCAAGGUCCACGUGUUGCAUAAGCCGAGCCUCCUCUCUGGCCUCUCCCCACUUGGCCGCCUCGUGACGGGGCCUCUCGUGACACUUCCGGUAUCCUUUCUCCUACCGUUUCCCGCCCAAACUUGGAAGGGGUACUCUCAUCCCCCUGCCCCGAACUACUUCCAGGAAAUCCUCGCUUUUUCGCCUGGAAGUUUCUCACCUGUAGCCUAGCAUUCUCUACUCGUUGCGCCUUCUCUACUGCAUGACUGAAGGCGUUAAUUUGGGCUACCGCAAGGUCCUUCUGGAUUUCUACGUUCAGGCCCUGGACAAAUCGCCGUAUUCUUCGUUGCUCGGUCAUGAUGAGUUCGGGCGCAAAUUUGGAUAGGCGGGUGAAUUGGCUCUCGUACUCCGCUACAGAUUGGGCCUCCUGACGAAGCCGAAUAAAUUCAUCUUCCUUCCGCUCCUGAACUAGAGGAGGGAAGAAUUUGGCAUUGAAUUCCCGCAUAAAAUUCACCCAGGUCCUGGGCGUUUGUUCCCGUUCCCAUUUUUGCCGAAUAACGUUCCACCAGGAACGGGCCGCCCCUUCCAGUUGAAAGACGGCGAAGGUCACCUGCCUCUCCUCCGUAUAAUGUAGGGCGGCAAAGAUAUCCACCAUCUUCUCUAGCCACCUUUCGGCCACGUCCGGAUCGGGCCCCCCAAGGAACUUCGGUGGGGCAAACUUCUGGAAUCUUUCAAGUGCCCUGUCGUCACUCUCGACGUGGUUGCCAGGAUUUUCAGGGUUAGAAUUAGGGUUUUGAUCCUGUUGGUGCACCACUUGGGCUAGUAAAUUAGUCAUUUGCUGCAUAGUAGCCGCUAUUUGGAUGUUAGGAUCAACCCUAGGUUCAGGGUCAGGAUUAGGUCCAGAUGAGAUUUCCCCAGUGCCCCUUUCAGGCGUGGGUUGCCUACCCCCGCGUCCACGGCCUCGACCACUACGAGUGCCUUCCAUCAAUCUAAGUCGAUCUAGGAAUAAACCCUCCUUUUCGUAGCACUAAACAGGAACAAUUAAACAAGGACAAUUAACUAAAACAACUAUCUCGUAGAGCUUUUAAACACAGAACACAUAUACAUAGAACACAUAACCGGAUCAAGUAAUUAUACAGAACAGUCAGUCAAGCACAUACAAAGUCAUCACAUGAAACAAAAGGGGUCCUCCAAAAGUACUAUAGACAGACUAAGUCACGAGUACAAAAGAACUCACGAAAAACUUUCCCCCCCCCUAGGGCUCCAUCCAUAAUCUACGAGAACAACACCAUUUAUAUCUUAAUCAAGGUUGAUCACGCUUAACCAUACCCGAACAAACCACACGAAGUUCCAUAGAAUCGCAUUUCUAGUUCGCCCAAUCCUUUCGAACCUAGGCUCCCAUCUCUUUCGUAUCCAGGCGCAAGAAUCCCAUCUAAGAUGAUUCACAACUCGAGCCGGCCGGUCCCAAGCGUAAAUCAUCCAUAUUAAAGAUUCCUACCCGACAUACAUACCUAACUUCCUCAAGUCCCAUGAUAAUGAUCCUUACACUUAUGACAUGCACAGUUCAUAGCUUACGCUCAAAAGAGCACUUAUACCUUUCGACGCAUUCACGAAAGCAUGACCAUAACACCGCUUGGCCCAAACUCACUCCGCACAGAGACCACGCGAACCUGGCUCUGAUACCACCUGUGACAGCCCCACCUUCCCAUAAGGCGAACAAAAGGGGUUAGCGGACUGCCCGCUCAACUCUCGCCAGGACUAACGGGACAAUUCAAUACGGUUUCAAAGUUCCGGAACAUACAAGCGCCCUUAGACAAGUCAAAAUUACAAAAUAACAAAAAAAAAACGUAAACGGAGUCGGCCAAGAAUAGUAACCGACACGUCAAAAUCCAACCAAGUAUCAAUCAAACAUAUACAUCUUGAAAUUUAGCAUUUACAUACCCAAAAGGACAUACCCAAGUUGUCCAACGAGUUUAUACAAGUACGGUUUGUAAAUUACAACUCAACAGUUUUGGUUGGAUCCAAAAAGCACUUAGAGUUUGCUCAAAAGGAGCUAUUCAAAAUUUCAUUUACAUAAGCUCAACUCGGCAACCAACAUGUACAACCUUUCCAAAAGUAAUCAAUUUCAUGUAAGGAAAACAAACGGAAUAGAGUGAGCUUACGCCCAGUGAGAUACUAUCACUCAAGCAGCCAAGUUCAUAUAAGCAUAAAUCUUUUCAUUUCAAAUCAUCAAAAGUAAACCAAGAGCACACAUUAAUAGAGUUUCUCAAGAGCCCCUUUCCUCGCUUACAUUCUUGAUCGGAGCUCAUUGAUCCUCCGUCAAUGUUUAAGAGUAACCAACCGUAGGCUCCACUUUACUUCCAUUCCUUCCACCCAACAUACCCCUACCGGGCCCGAACUCCAAACAGUAGAAAUUUGGUAAUACUCGAGUAUACCGGAAUCAAGAGUCUCACUACUACAAGAUUCCAUAUAACAGUCCCCAUGGCUCGUCAAUUUUCACGACCAAGCCCUCACCGGCUCGAUUCAAUCGACUACCAAUGGGGUUGAGCUCAGUAGUAACAGUAAUGGCCGUUGGAUACUCGUCCAAACGACACCAAAUCCAGUAUAUCAGGUAUCAUUUAAAUACCACAGUAAAACAGUAGACAGUCGUAUAUAGUACCAAAAGGGGUGAGGGCGAUCAAGUACACCCUCACUUUAAUCAGUUUCAAUGGCACAUAGGCCCUUAAGGCAUCAAGUUCAAAUAUAGCAAAGCCACAUUGUAAACAAACAAGUGAGUAGUACACUCACCAGUCAAGCAAGUGAAAUUUCACCAGUCCAGUUCAUAGUGCAACUAGGUCAAAAAUGCAAUAUACCAAACCAGCACCGUCAAAACAGGUUUACAAACCGCAUUUUGGCUCAAACAUCAUAAGUCAGGCUACCUAAGUCCAAAUCAAGUGAUUCCAAAGUCAUCCGAAAGCUAAGAUACAAGGCUACAAUUCAUCAGAAGACAUCAACAACCAAAUCAGAAGCAUUCCCUAUAAAACUAACCAAUUACCAGAACUGAUUACCAAGUUCGGGUAGAAACAGGGCAGCAGGGGUAUUUCAGUCUUUUCAUAAACUACGUUGCUCCGAUUGACCUGAAAUUUUGCAGGAAUCUCUAAAAUAUCAUUCCCUACAACUUUUAUGUUUUAACCCAAGGCUAAUUCGGCCUCUAACUAUAAUAAACAGUGCUGGGCAGAAUGAGGGAGAAUGAAACCCUAACUUUCACAAUUUCCUUCCAAAACAGAAAUUUCCUGCAAUUAACCACAAAUUACACCUUCUAGCUUCAUUCUAGAUCAAUUCCCAUCAUCAUACAAAGCCACACCAUAUUACACAUAUGAAACAGAAAAUUCAUGAUAUAAUCAAAAAAAUUCACCAAUCUCAACCCAAUUCAAGAUAUCUUUCACCCAAUCACACAUUUAAUCAACACAAAUCAUUACUUUGACAUUAUCAAGACCAAAGGAAGCAUUCCCUAGCUACUCACCUUGAAAUGCAAGAAAAGGAACAACUUGGCACCUUAAUCCUCCAAACAACUCCACUAAACACCUCACAAUCACUCACUUAAGGGUUUCUAUGGAACAAAAGCAAGAUUAAAUGGUUGAUUUAUUGGAUUUGAGAAAGAGUAGAGCUAGGAAUUUGGAGAGUUUUCCUUUCUUUCUUCCUUGGAGAGAGCCGGCUUCAAGAGCUUGGAAAUAAGGGUGAAUUUUGGAAAUUUUGUUUUUGUUGGUUUAUUUGGUCAAAUAGUAAAAGAAUGAAUAGUAGUCAUAACCUAAGACUUAAUCUUAUGGUGACACUUGUCACCCUAUUUAAUGCAUCUCUAUCUCUUUGUUCCUCUCACACCAAUCCGCUUGGUAACAUCUAAUUAUCUCUUAACACCUGGUAAAUUAAAUCCAGUAUCCAAAACUUAACCUAAUUGGCCGAAUUUUUUCGAACUUUUCGCCCUAGUGGGUCCCACAUCCGGUAUACGCUCUUAAUUUCUGAAAAACUAACCAAUACUAGAAACUCACCUAAAAACUAUAUUUACUCAUAAAAAUUAUCUAGAAACUUUUGAAUAAAGAAAAUGCAGAAAACAUGCCAGUAACCCGAAUAAAACCUAGAAAAUGGGAAAAAUUACGGGUUCUCACACCACCACCUAGUUUAUCCAUAAGAGACAAAGAAAGAAGAACGACAAAAUAGAGUGAAAAAAACUUGUGCAUCAGAUGUAUUUGUGUGAAAGCAGUGUCCAUUUUUAGCUGUACACUUGUCAUGCAGUCAACUCUCUUUUUUCUUGCACUUUUCUUUUUUUCCCAAAAAACAAGGGAUCUUUCCAUAAAUGGAGGGGAAGUGAAGGUGUUUGGAAUGCUUGAGGGUUAGAUAUCUUUUUUAGUUGCUUUUUUGUUGGAGUCCAUCUACAAAAAAUGAUUAAAAAUCACGAGAUUCUCAAACGAUAAAUACAUGGAAGUCACUAAAAUAAAAAAGGCAAGUUAUUAUUUGAUUUAUUUUUGUCACUUAAGUCAUAUAUAGUUUAGGGUCUGUUUGAUAACAUAAAAAAGUGUUAAAUCUGAACUUUUUCAGAUAUUCAGAUGUUUUGAGUAUUUGAUAAAUGAAAAUCCAUUUGCUGAACUUGUGUGUAUUUUUUUCAGCACAAGAAUCCUAGUUAAAUGCUUAAUUCUGAUAAGAAUCAAUAGAAUUACUUCAACUACCUUAUCUUAUCUACCAAAUCUAUCAUUAUUUAUUAAUUAUGUUCAAAAUUCUUAUAUAAUUAAACAAUCUAAUAUUCUCUAUCUAAUGAUUUUCUAUUUCUCUUUUCUCACUUUUGAAUGACUUUCACUUCUUCACCAUACUCCUCAUAUAAUAUAAUUCAUCUUUUAUAUUAAUUUGAUUUAAAAAUAAAUAUUGUCAUUUUCAUAUCUAACAUUUUUAGCUAAUUAAAUCAUAGAUUCUAUUUCUUUUUUGGAUGAAAAGAUAUAAGGGCAAAAUUGUCAAAUUUAACUUAUUAAGCAUUCAGUUAGAAAUUUUAUCAAACAGUACAAAUAGAUUUAGCAUUAAAAUUCAGACAUUCAUAUAUUUCUUUUCAGUGCUUAAAAUUCAGCAAAUUAAUUGUUUUAGUAUUCAGAUUUCAGAAUUCAGACUUCAGAAUUCAGAUUCAGUUUUAUCAAAUGGAGCCUUAGUAUAAAAUUUUCCUUUUUGGUUGAUAAGCUUGAUCCAUUGUGUUAGUCUGUAGUUUUAAAGCUGUGACAAUUGGGAUUAAAAGGUGUUUAGAACAAUUGAACUGCCACCAUUGUUUGCUAUUCUACUGUGGAAUCACUCGGCAAUAUCUCCACCGUGUUUCAAAGUUAGAUGUUCUGUCGUUAUGUACUCUCAAAGUGGAAAUAGAAAUAUCUGGCCGCAGAGUUUACUGCGCUGAACUUGCAGUAAAAAUUUAAGGUGCCUGAUAAAUGUUCUGCUGGGGAAUUGAACUGCAGGCAGUGUUUGGACUGCACUUUAUUUUCACCUUAUUUAUACAUACUAAUUUGUCUGCAUCAUCAAUAUAUUUUUCAAUCAAUUUGUUAUCUUGUUAGGAUCGAAAACAACCAAUCGAAAAGUCAAUCGAUAAGCAAUUAAAAGAUCACAAUAUAACAAUAAAUAAAUAAAAUGGAAAGAAUUGCAAACCAAUUAACUACCCAACUCCUCUUGAGCUUGUAGAUUAAUUCAAAUAAGUUUCUUCAAGUUGAUGAAUUACAAUCACUCUUGCAUACAAAGGAAGGUUCACAUCCUUCUUGCCCCGAACACCCCUCGGUCAAGUCAGGAAGUUUUACUAUCCCUCAGGACAACCCUCACAGAGCUACACUCAUGAAGUAUUCACUCACAAAUGAAAAGCUUACAAUGAACCUCACACCACUAAGACUACAAAUCUUCUUUGAAGAGUAUUUUCUCACUAAAAUCACUCUAGAUCUUUUGUAUCUUCAGUGUGCAAAAGUUGUUUGAUGUAUCUGACCAACCACUAUUUAUAUAGGACCAAGAAAGUGCCUUAAUAAUGCUUCCAACGGAUAGAAAGUAGCUGAAAAGUCAACUAGCCGUUGGAGUGUCGGACGUCCGAUAGACCUGUUUUUUGCGUCCGACAGCAGGCAGUGAGUUUAAGAGAUUUUCUUCAAUUCUUUCGGACGUCCGGUAGGUUGGUUUUCUGCGUCCGAAGGUAUGAUAUAAAACUGGGAAUUUUUCUUCAAUUCUUUCGGACGUCCGGUAAGUUGGUUUUCUGCGUCCGAAGGUGUGAUGUAAAACUGGGAAUUUUUCUUCAAUUCUUUCGGACGUCCGGUAGGCUGAUUUUCUGCGUCCGAAGUUGCGCAAUGAUUGUCGAACGUCCGAUCAUGACUUCUUGAGCGUCCGACAGCUUCAGCAUACUUUGUCCCUUUCAAAUGUGAUUAAUUUUUGAAUCUGAUUUGCUUCAUAGCUGAAAGUAUUUCUUGAAAAAAUAUUAGUAUUAUCCAUUAUUUUGUAAACAUCAAAAGAUAGGGACCAAUGUCAACAUUCUCCCCCUUUUUGAUGAUGACAAAACAAUGGAUGGAAGAAGGAAAAAGAUUGAGCAUAUGAGCAUAAGCUCCCCCUCACUCAUAGCAUCCAAACUUAUAAUCUCAGAAUAACUCCCCCUCACACAUAGCAUAACUUCCCCUUAUACAUAGCAUCCAUUUCUCCCCCUUUUUAUCAUCAUAAGAUGAGAGUAAAAACUAACUACCAAAAUCCAGCAACAAUAACAGAGAAUCCACUAUUCCAAAUAAAAACAGAGAAAUGACAGCAAUCACCAACAUAUCACAGCAAAUCAUCAUGAGAUCGACAUUAUUCUUUUUACUCUCUUUUUGACAUCAUACAAAUUCAGUAAAAAAUCAAGAAAAACUUUGUUCACAGCAUCAGAAAUAUCAAAAGAGAAUUACAAAAAAAAAAAUUAUGAAUAAGAAUCUCAUCAAUCUUACCAAUAUCUGCUACUUGUUAAAAUUAGUAUCAUGUCUAACUAUUCAUAUGCAUUUCAUGCCUUUUUUCAUAUUCUUUCUCACAUAGCAAUCACUUUUCAUGUGACCUUUUUGACAACAGAAAUUACACAUAAUCAAAGAAUUAUUUAUAUGAACAGGUUUAAUAAAUCUUACUUGUCUUCUCUUAUAAAUAGUAAAUUCGUUGGAAUUAGAAUUCAACCUAUUCUUUUGAAAACAGACUUGUUUCUUGUGUUUAAGCAACUCAUUUAGACCAUCCAUUCUUCUUUUCAAAUCACCUUGUUCCUUUUUGAACAAUUCACAAAACUUUGUUUUGCUAUCAAGUUCAAAGUGUAAAGCAGUCUCACUCUUUUUGAAAUAAUCAUUUUCAGAUUUCAACUUUUUAUUUUGUUGAAAAAGAUUUGCAUUGUCUUGAAGAAGAAAACUAAUUUUGUGUUUCAAUUCCUUGUUUCUAACAUAAGAUUCUUUCAAACUAUCAUACAAUUUUUUAAUGAAAGAUUCAAGAUCAUCAUCACUUUCAUCAUCACUUUCAAAUUGAGAGUUAGAAGAUGUUACCUCAUCAUCUCCAAUGGCCAUGAAAGCCAAUUGAGCAGAUUCUUCAUCCUCUUCAAUUUCACCAUCGGAGUUGCACUCAUUCCAUGUGAAUUGAAAUUUGUUGAAUCUUGGUUUUCUUCCUUCAUUCUUCUUCAUCAUUGGACACUCACUCAUGUAGUGUCCAAGUUGACCGCAUUCAUAGUAAUUGUCACCUUGCUUUUUGUUGGCCUCAUACUUUCCUUUGUUUCUUACAUUGUUGAAUUGAUUAGAAUCUGAAUAGCUAGGUCCUCCUCUUCUAAACUUUCGUUUGUUGAGGAAUCUCUUGAAACUUUUUGUGAUAAGAGCAAGAUCACUAUCAUCAAUUUCCACAUCAUCUCCAUCUAGGGAGGCAGAAUCAUCUUGAUCUUAAGAUGUCUUUAGAGCAAUGCUCCUUCUUUCUUUCGCAUCCUCUUCUUCUUGCACUUUGGACUUAAGCUUCAGCUUAUAAAAGGUUAGAGAAUUAAUAAGCGAUUCAAUAGGCAAGGAAUUUAGAUCUCUAGCUUCUUCAAUGGCAGUCACUUUACUCUCCCAAUCCUUGGGCAAUGCAUUCAGAAUUUUUCUAUUUUUCUCACCUAGAGAGUAUUCCUUUUCCAGCACCUCCAAAUCCUUAAUGAGGUCAUUGAAUCUACAAUACAUCUUAUCAAUGUUUUCAUGAGGCUGCAUCUUGAAGGAUUUAUACUUUGUAACUAGAAUGGAUUUCUUUUGUUCUCUAACAUUCUCACUAUCUUCAUGAAUUUCUCUCAAUUUAUCCCAAAUUUCCUUGGCUGACUUGCAGCCUUUGACUCUAACCGAUUCAUUUGAAUCUAAAGCACAAUAUAACACAUUCAUGGCUUUUGCAUUUAAGGUGAGAUGAGCUCUAUCCACAGCAGUCAGUUCAUUUCUAGUUUUUGGUCUAGAUGUACGAGUAUUUUCAUCUAUAAGAGAGGCAUCAUAUGGACCUUCACUAAUAAUAAACCACAAUUCAAUAUCAAUAGAUUGCAAAAAAAUAAUCAUUCUUUCUUUCCAACUCACAUAAUUUGACCCAUUAAACAUAAGUGGUCUAAUCACAGAAUGUCCUUCAAAAAAUAUGGCAUUAUUGGUUGUCAUUUUUAUUCCAAAGCCGAUUGAGCUUAAUCUCUAGGAGAACAAGCUCUGAUACCAAUUGUAAGGAACGAAAACAACCAAUCGAAAAGCCAAUCGAUAAGCAAUUAAAAGAUCACAAUAUAACAAUAAAUAAAUAAAAAGGAAAGAAUUGCAAACCAAUUAACUACCCAGCUCCUCUUGAGCUUGUAGAUUAAUUCAAAUAAGCUUCUUCAAAUUGAUAAAUUACAAUCACUCUUGCAUACAAAGGAAGGUUCACCUCCUCCUUACCCCGAACACCCCUCGGUCAAGCCAAGAAGUUUUACUAUCCCUCAGGACAACCCUCACAGAGCUACACUCAUGAAGUAUUCACUCACAAAUGAAAAGAUUACAAUGAACCUCACACCACUAAGACUACAAAUCUUCUUUAAAGAGUAUUUUCUCACUAAAAUCACUCUAGAUCUUUUGUAUCUUCAGUGUGCAAAAGUUGUUUGAUGUAUCUGACCAACCACUAUUUAUAUAGGACCAAGAAAGUGCCUCAAUAAUGCUUCCAACGGAUAGAAAGUAGCUGAAGAGUCAACUAGCCGUUGGAGUGUCGGACGUCCGAUAGACCUGUUUUUUGCGUCCAACAGCAGGCAGUGAGUUUAAGAGAUUUUCUUCAAUUCUUUCAGAUGUCCGGUAGGUUGGUUUUCUGCGUCCGAAGGUAUGAUGUAAAACUGGAAAUUUUUCUUCAAUUCUUUCGGACGUCCGGUAGGCUGAUUUUCUGCGUCCGAAGUUGCGCAAUGAUUGUCGGACGUCCGAUCAUGACUUCUUGAGCGUCCGAUAGCUUCAGCAUACUUUGUCCCUUUCAAAUGUGAUUAAUCUUUGAAUCUGAUUUGCUUCAUAGCUGAAAGUAUUUCUUGAAAAGAUAUUAGUAUUAUCCAUUGUUUUGUAAACAUCAAAAGAUAGGGACCAAGGUCAAUAUAUCUCAUAUACAUCACAUCAAAAAAGUGCUACAGUAUUUUUUUACAAAAUUAUCUCAAAUAAUUUACUAUCCAAACACAAAGAAAGCCAAAUGGCUAUAACUAGGCUGUUUAAAUAUGGCUGAUUGUCCUUUGUGCAACUAAUAAUUUUUGAUGAUUGAGAUGUGUAACGAAAAAAAUAAUAUCAGGGCUAGUGAUGAGAGAGUACAAUAUGAUUUCAAAAUGAAUUGGCCAUGAUGGAAUUUAAUCGGAUAUUUUUUUAUCCUUGUUUAAUCACUUAAUGAGUAAUUUGACUAAAACUUUUAUCAAUUCAAGUACUUUUUGAUAAGUCACUGCAACUUCAAACGAGUAUUUAAAGCUGUCUAGUUCUAUUUCAGGGGACAAAAUGGCUGUUGUAUAAUGUUGCAUGGCAUUCUCUAUAAUUGUUUUGUUAUACUAAUGGUGUCAUGCAGUUAAUGGCCCAAAUAGAUUCCAUUUGAAUUAAAGUGUAUGAAAUUAAUUAUGAGAUAUGAAUUUCAAUGAAUAAUAAAACUUAUUGUGUUCGUGUAAGACAUCAUCUUAUUGUUAAAAUUUAUUGUCUUACUUGGCAUGUCUAGUAAUUUGAACCAAUUACUUGACAUGCCUAGUAAUUGAUCCAAAAUCAAUAAGAGAGCUGCAUGUAGAUAUAUAAGGUCUCAUUUGCUAAUUCACAUACUAAAUCAGUCUAUACAUAUACAUAUAUUUAUAUUUAUAUAUAUAUAUAUAUAUAUAUAUAUAUAUGGAACUCUUCCAUUUCCAUUGAUCUUGAAUCCAAGGAUAGAACCAGAAUUUUGGUUUAAUAGAAAAUGGUGGAUAAAAUAUAACAACUAUACCUCAAAUUUUGCAACAAAUAACUACCAUUCUAAUGUUUUUAAUAAGAGACAAAAUAUAAAUUUUCCUUUCAAGGCAAAAUGUUUUUUUUUUUUUGGCCUCGGCUCGAAUGAAGAUCCAAGUCUUACACAAGGGAACCGGAAAAGGAAGGAUUUAGAAUCAAACCAAAAAUCUCACUGUCAUGUAACAAUAUCUCUAUCAAUUAAAUCACAAAUAAAAAAAAUAAAGGAUUUGACUAAUCGAUGUCUAGUGGCGACUCCUUAAGUCGGGGUUCGAGUGUUACCUUUAUUUGCAAGAGUACUGUUAAUUUGAAAAAUUGUCGAAAUGAGCGGGGAGGGGAAAGUAUGGGGUACUAUAAGUGUGAGCAUGGUAAAUAAAACAUAAAGGAUUUGGGAUUGGGGUGUUACUUUUGUUCGCAAUAGUAUUAUUAAUGUUAAAAAAAAUUAUCUAAAUGUGGGAGAGGGAUGGAAGAGGGGGGAAUAAAACUGCAAUAAAUGUGAACAUGCAGAUUUACCUAAUAAUUUUGGCAUAAAUUAGGUACAACGGGCACCUAGUGCUCAAAUAGAUUAUUUUCUUCUAUAUAUUACUUUUUUGGUUUCAAUAUGUGGCACUUGUUAAAGAACCACCAACGAACAAUUCUAUAAAAACCUUAUUAAUGAUAUACAAAUCAAGGGCCAAAAGUCUCAAUGACUAUUAAACUGUACUUUGCAUCUAUUUUUGAACAUCAAACUAUUUUUUGUCUCAAUUCAAUCACUCAACUAACUAAUUAGUACUAUUUUGAUUGUUUACUUUUAGCCACUUAAUUAUUUUUUAUUCAAAAUGGCGACUCAAUUUACAAAUGUAUAUAUUGGUGGUUAUUCCAUCCAAAUUUGGUGUUAAUCCUAACAGAAUAAGUUGUAUGUGCACUAUAUUGGCCAAAAACCAUGGAUAAAUUCAUCCAAAUAGAUGAAAUAAAAAUCUUAAAUAAUCAUUAAACUAUACAAACAAUAUAAUUUUAGUGAUUUUUCAUUCAAAUUGGCCACUCAACUCACCAAAAUAGUAUAUUAGCAAGCUUUUAUUCAAAAUUUGUUAUUAGAUCUACUGUUUUCAUUUUAUUUGCAGGGUUCUUGCAAUAAUGCACAAGAACUAGAGCAUAUAAUUUAGUUUUUUUUUGUCAAAAAUUAUAAAUUAGAAUGCAUGAAAGCAACUAUUAUAGAUUCCAAAUUUUAUGUUUUGCUAAUAAAAAAAUAUGAAACUUUAGAUGGAAAAAAUGUAAAAAAAUUGACCUUCUGGAAUUGUCAUUACUUUUUGGUACGUGAAAUGCACAUGGAACUCAUUCCGUUAUCAUAACAAAAACAUUUUACAGAAUGACAGCUAAUAUAUCGAUUUAAGUGUUCAGUGACUAUAAUGAAACAAAAAAAUAUUUGAGUGGCUAAAAAUGUACGAGUGGAAUAGUUUAGUGGCCGUCAGAGUUUGUAGGUUCAGAUUUAGAAGUUUAGUGGAUAUAUUUACCCAUAGAUUAUGAUACAUGAUUUGCACGUGGUUGGUUUAUUUUGUAGAUUAAGAGCAAAAUCUGACAAAAUGGCCACAAGCAUACUGAUUAAUUAGUAGCAUGGCUGAAUUUUAUGAAAAUAGUUUGAUGGUCAAAAGUAAAUGUGGAGAAUAGUUUAAUGACUGUUGAGAUCUUUUACCCUACAAAUCAAUAUGGAAUCUAAUCAAAUUUUAAUGAGAUUUUAUAUCUAUUUUAUCUUUUGUUUCCUUUUUGUUCUAUUUCCUUAUUUUAUUAAUUGCAAUCCUUGCAUGCGUUAUGUUGUUUUAGGUAAUUACUAUGGGUUAUGGAGGGAGGGAGGGAGGGGGGAGCUACCACACAUAACAAUUAAAAUACCACACAUAACAAUUAAAAUAUGUUUGAGGGGGUAAAGAGUAAAUUAAUGAAAACUUCAAUCUUUGGGGUGGCUGCUCCUCCCCAGCCUCCCUAAUUUCGUCCUUGCCUGGACCAACUAUUAGCAUAUUAAGUAGUUAUUCCGACCAAUAUAAAAUCUUUGUUCAAAUUCCCGUGAAAUCCCUCGCAUUCCAGAGCUCAAUUUUGUUAACAGGGUCAUUGUAGAAGUGCCAAGAUUCAAUGGUUUAUAACACUAAUAACAAGAGUAAUUUGUUAGAUUUCUGACAUGCAAUUCCACUGGCUAUGCCUAUCAUUUUGUCCUGGCUCCUUGCAUCAAAAAUCAGUAAUCAGUAAACUCUUGCACGAUAAUCAUAAACACUGGCUAUCAGUAAUCAGUAAUCAGUAAACUCUGGCUAUCAUUUUCCAUAGCAUUGUAUACAUGACACUCCAUUCUCACUUUUAUCUAGCCGGAUAAUCAUAAACACUGAAAUAUAUAAAACUAAAGAUGUAUCCAGCAAGAAGUGGCUCUUGAAUCUCAAUAAUCAUCUACUUCUUGCUAGUACCACUCCCAUGAUCCAUCACAUAUGCCCUCAAGGAUGGGGAUUGAGUGAGGCCAUAAGGUGCAACAGUUGUAUUCUGAUUUCCAUUCUUCUGCAGCAUUCUUCUCCUUGCCACGUAACCGCGGAUCCAAGGGGUAACAUCCUCGUUAAUCUUUAUCAUGAUGAAGAAGAUAAUGCGGUAGAUAAUAAUCAUACUGAAGAUAACACUGAGAUCCACCCAUUUUGACCUGUUUGUGUCAAUCUGGAAGACAUAUUCCAGAAUGUAUUCUCCAGAAAUUUUGGGCAUGUCCGGGGUCUGGUUGUCAAAUAUCAGGCCCUUCAAAUCAUUCUGGUAUUGACCCUGAGAUAUUUGAUGUUGUUUCCAAUUGUAAGAUACCAUUAAUUAUAAAUUUUAUCAGGAUGACACAGUUGCAGAUGAGUUUACCUGUAGUGCCCAGAAGUGAAAACUGAUGUAAGUCAUUGGAUAGCGCCACACUGGCUUGGGGAUGUCAUUUGGGAGUCUGAAGUAGCCAGAUACUAGCAUAAAUAUCCCCUAACACACGAAGGAAACCACAAAAUUCAGUUUGACUGACACGAGAAAAUUAACAAAGAAAAUAAGAAGCUUAAAUUCCAAGAUACUGAUUCUUGACUAAUCUUAGUAGAAUAAAAUCAUCAACGCUAAAAGAGAUGAGGUAUCAAUAGAACCGGAAAGCAAGUUUUCCCUGAAGGGAAAAAUCAAUUAAGGGCAGACACAUGAUUGCUUGGAAUGAAUAUCCUAACCUUGUUACCAAUCAACAGAAUAGGAUGAAAAGUGAUAUUCUGAACUCAUCCGGGAAAUAUAAAGCGUGUAAAUGUAUAUUGAAAUGCGCACCUGAAUACCAGCACCAGUGAUGAUACCCAUGAGGAAGUUAGGGACAAUGCUUGCUAUAGCCAUCAUCAGGCUCUCAACAACAGUGACACUUGCAUAAAGGCACAACACGAAGAACAGGUAAUGUGAGAAUCCAGGAUGAAGACGGACCAUGAAGUAGCAGAUAGUCCCAGAAAUGAAAGUGAUCAAUAUCAGAAAUGGCAUGGCAGAUAGUGUGUUGCUGAUGACAAAUGCAGUUACACCAUAAUGUCCAUUUAACCUUUCUCUUUGGAAGACCUGCAUUAACAGAUGAGUGCAGGUAUGUUUUUAGUGCUUCAGUAAUUUCCUUGAGGUUCCCUAUGUGGACAAUAAAAAAAAAAUGGCAGGCCAAUGAUGGAACCGUUAGUGCAAUUCCAUUAAGGUUAAGAGACAAACCUUCAUAUCUUCUACAAAUGAAGGAAAACCACCAAUUGACAUGAAUGUCACGAAGCCAAAGACAAAAGAAGCACAAGCACCCCUUGCCUGUUUAGAGGAAAGGAUCACAUUAAGAUGGAACUGCCAUUGGUACCAGUAAUUCAGUAGUUUACAGUCCAGAAUUUGAUGGCUUUCCUUCACUUGUGUUUCUUACAAGUGUCACGCCGUGCUUUGAUGAUAUAUUAGCAAAAUUACAAUUUAUAGACAUUCCGAUAAAAAGUGUCUAAUCAUGUCAGUUUUCCAAAAGGAAUGCAUCAAAGAAACUAGCCUGACUGCCUCCUGAAUCCAAUACAGUUCCUUUCUGUUAACACGACAUCAACUGUUAACCACAUAGCCAUUAUGAUGAAUCAUUCAAGAAAAUGUCAAAGAUAAAAAAUGAAAACAGAUCAAUACUUACUAUUUUGGACAUUUCCUCAACUUUUUCUUUUGCAAUGUAGCAAUAUUGAGAUCUACGAUAGCAAUCAAUGAGGGUCCUUAUUGCUUCAGCAGUUGUUAUUUUCUCGAGAGGAUCAUCAUUGCUUUCAAACUGAAUAAACAUCACCAAGUUAGUCAAGUUGAAACUAAGUGCAGAAUACUAGCAACUUUAUUAGUCUAAAAUAAAGUUUCAAGUGUUUAAGGGUAAGAUCCAAGUCUGUCCUACAUAUUCAAUCUUUUAUUCCAUUUCCUUUUUCUCCUUUGGAUUCUCUCCAAAUUAAUGAAAAUCCUCAGGUGACUUUUUAUUUUUCCCAAUGUGUAGAUUGAAGUUCAAAUGAUUGAACAACCAUCACAACUAGGCUAGUUUUUUGAGUGACAAUUCAUUAGACAGUUUUAGCCAAAAAAAAAAAAUUAUCGCAGGUUGCUUCUUCCUGCUGUUAUUAGCCAAGCUAUGUAAGUUUUUUGCUGUCGUCCCACAUAAUUUUUUAUUCAAUACUGUUUAGGAGUUAUUAUAAAUUAUCUGGUUCCUUCCCAUGAGGAGCGGAAGCAAAAAGGAGAAAUGACUCCUUGGUAUGAAAAUUGAUGUUCUUGGAAAGCUAGGUUAGGGCCAUGAAGAAGGAAGAAUGGGGAACAAAAUGGCACAGCUCAUGUCUGUAUAUUACAAAAUGCUGUAGUUCUAUACCAGACUUUGCUGAUCCAAAGAGGGGAAAAAAUUUAAUACCUGAUCAAAUCAUUUACUGACCAAAUUAAUUACUUCAGCUAGUUGAUCACGCAUCACAAACUUUACCUAAUUGUGCGACAUGACCAGACACACCAGCUCCAUUAAAUAAAUGACUGCAAUAACUCCAGUGUUUGUUUUUGACCUAAUUACUUCAGCUAAUUGACACAUAACAAACCUUGGGCCAAUUGUACAACAUCACCACACACAUCAACUCUGUUAAAUAACCAUGACUGCAAUAAUUCUAAUGUUUGUUUCCGACCAGAAGCAUCACUUCCAGCAGAAUAUAGAUAUAUGCUCCACAUGCAUAAAAGACUUGCGUGUUGAAAAAGAAGAGCAGCAUAUUUAGUACUAUAGAAUGCUUGUUUCAGUACGCAAGAACUUGGAUGAGAUGGAAAGAAAUAUGUUCAGUACCCUCAUCUUCAUGGAUCCCUUGAGAGUUGCCUUAACUUUGUCAAAAUCUGAAUUUAUGCAUCUAAGGAAGUGGUCUGAUGGAUUUCUCAGAGUAGGACAUGGAAAGCCAGCUUGCGCAAAAAACUGCAAAAAACCAAGCCUAAUGUGAUUUUAAGUUUUUCAGAUAUGUAAAUAAGCUUCGAGAAAGUGAAAGGGUCGAGGGCUCUUGCCUCAUAGGCUUCUGAAGUCUGCCCAAAGUAAACUGUCUUCCCUCCAGAAAGCAAGUACAAUCUAUCAAAAAGCUCAAAAACUUCGCUGCUUGGCUGGUGAAUAGAGGCUAUUACAGUCCUUCCAUCUCUAGAUAGACCGCGUAAGGUCUGAGUUACGAAGAAAGCUGAAGCACUGUGACAAAUAAUGCAAUACAAGCAGCCCAAAUUAAUCAGAGGUAAUGAGAGGAGCUGCACGACCACAUCAACAACUACUUAUUAAACUCUCAAAAGACGAAUUAUCUGUCCUGCAAUUAUUCAAUUCUGCUCUCUUGGAGUUGUAUACUAAUGCAACUAAACUAUGGAUCGCAGGAAUUUAAGAGAAUCUAUUGGUAUUUAAUUUACCUGUCAAGUCCACUUGUUGGCUCAUCUAAGAAAAGCAAUCUAGGCCUCAUCAGGAUCUCAAGGGCAAUGCUUACCCUCCUCUUUUCUCCACCACUGAUUCCACGCAAGUGCCAAUUUCCAAUAACUGUAUCGGCACAAUCUUGGAGGCCCAUUUCGACUAUGGUGCUCUCUAUCAAUGCUCGCUUCUCAGUCCACGGCAUCUUAUCUGGGAGCCGCAGCCUAGCAGAAUAAGAUAUUGUUUCCCGAACAGUCAGAGUACCAAUCAAGUUGUCAUCUUGUGUCACAUACGCCUGCGUUCAAUUUAAUUUAUCAACGCACACAAAAUCCAGCUGAAUUCAACCAGUUAGGCUUAUCAUCCUAGUUGAAAAUCAAUUGAGCAAUGAAACAGCAGCAUAUGGAUCAUCAUAGUCAUAUUGAACAAAAACACGGAGAAAGAGAGUCAUCCAACUAGCCAUAAUUCAGAAACACAGACAGGAAAUGGGCAGCCUAACAAGUCACUAAAAAACAGCAAGUGUAAAAUGCAACUAAGAGAUCAAGCCUACUUGCAAAGUUUGGAAAAAACAAAUACUCCCUCCCAGCUUACAAUACCAAUUGUCUAAAGAUUAUUUCCCUAGCUCCAAAUAUCUCUUAGAUAUCCUAGAUAUUUAGAUAUUUGGAGUUAGGAGAGGAAAUAAAUGCUAGAAAGAUAACAAAGUAACUCACAGCUGUACCAAAAGAGAGCUUUGCUCUACGACCAUUGAGUAGGAUAGUUCCAGACAGGAAAGCAUUGGCAGCAAGGCGACCAGAGAGGGCAUCAAGCAGGGUAGAUUUGCCAGAACCAGAAGGACCCAUAAGGGCAGUGAAGCUACCUGGCUCAGCAUAACCAGUAAGUCCUUCCAAAACAUUUUGAGUCUCCCCAUUCCCCAGUGUAACCAUUACUGUCAGAUCUUUCCAAGUCAAUCUUGCAGAAACAUCCCCAACAAAUUCUGUAUUGGUUUUCUCCUUCCACAGUGUCUCACUCAAAGGGCUC
rnacentral:lncRNA from 1 species